AUAUUUGCUGUGGGGUCACACCUCCGUGCUAUGUGCCAUCAGUAGUAGGAAUAUCCUGGCCAUCUAGGCAACAUCUCUUUCUAGAAUACUGAACUCUUAUGUUUGGUUUACUUGCUGUUCUCCCCCACACUGCAAGUGCUGCUGUAAGCUGAACCACUCUGGGAAAAUUUCCAAGGAAUAAUGGGAGGAAUUCUCAAGGACAAGAUGAGGACAGCACAAGGCUGAAAUAUAUCCCAGUGAGGCUGCAAAGGAUGUGGAAGGAAAGCUACAGAUGGCAGGUGGCAGCCUGCAGAACCAAGCACAGCCCUGACCUGAUGAGCUGCUUCUCAUCCAGAACUAAUAAAACCAAAGAUUAAGAGGGAAGAGAGAGCCAAUUCAGUGCAGGUACACUGCAAGGGCCAAAGUUGCACCUCAUGUUUGGUGCUGGAAACCAAAUACAGCAGGAAAAUAAAACAACAUGUGAU
rnacentral:lncRNA from 1 species